UACAGAGGUGGCAAGCGUUGUUCGGAAUUACUGGGCGUAAAGGGCGCGUAGGCGGCCUUCUAAGUCAGACGUGAAAUCCCCCGGCUUAACCUGGGAACUGCGUCUGAUACUGGGAGGCUUGAGUAUGGGAGAGGGAUGUAGAAUUCCAGGUGUAGCGGUGAAAUGCGUAGAUAUCUGGAGGAAUACCGGUGGCGAAGGCGGCAUCCUGGACCAACACUGACGCUGAGGCGCGAAAGCGUGGGGAGCAAACAGG
rnacentral:rRNA from 1 species